AGAUUGAACGCUGGCGGCAGGCCUAACACAUGCAAGUCGAGCGGCAGCACGGGUACUUGUACCUGGUGGCGAGCGGCGGACGGGUGAGUAAUGCCUAGGAAUCUGCCUGGUAGUGGGGGAUAACGCUCGGAAACGGACGCUAAUACCGCAUACGUCCUACGGGAGAAAGCAGGGGACCUUCGGGCCUUGCGCUAUCAGAUGAGCCUAGGUCGGAUUAGCUAGUUGGUGGGGUAAUGGCUCACCAAGGCGACGAUCCGUAACUGGUCUGAGAGGAUGAUCAGUCACACUGGAACUGAGACACGGUCCAG
rnacentral:rRNA from 1 species